rnacentral:rRNA from 1 species
GACGAACGCUGGCGGUGUGCUUAACACAUGCAAGUCGAACGGUAAGGCCCUUUCGGGGGUACACGAGUGGCGAACGGGUGAGUAACACGUGAGUAACCUGCCUUCAUCUCUGGGAUAACAGUCGGAAACGGUUGCUAAUACUGGAUAUGAGCUUGCAAGGCAUCUUGUGGGUUGGAAAGAUUCUUUUUGGUUGGGGAUGGACUCGCGGCCUAUCAGCUUGUUGGUGAGGUAGUGGCUCACCAAGGCUUCGACGGGUAGCCGGCCUGAGAGGGCGACCGGCCACAUUGGGACUGAGAUACGGCCCAAACUCCUACGGGAGGCAGCAGUGGGGAAUAUUGCACAAUGGACGGAAGUCUGAUGCAGCAACGCCGCGUGCGGGAUGACGGCCUUCGGGUUGUAAACCGCUUUCAAUUGUGACGAAGCUUUUUUGUGACGGUAGCAGUAGAAGAAGCACCGGCUAACUACGUG